rnacentral:rRNA from 1 species
AUUGAACGCUAGCGGGAUGCUUUGCACAUGCAAGUCGAACGGCAGCGCGGACUUCGGUCUGGCGGCGAGUGGCGAACGGGUGAGUAAUGUAUCGGAACGUGCCCAGUAGCGGGGGAUAACUACGCGAAAGCGUAGCUAAUACCGCAUACGCCCUACGGGGGAAAGCAGGGGAUCGUAAGACCUUGCACUAUUGGAGCGGCCGAUAUCGGAUUAGCUAGUUGGUGAGGUAACGGCUCACCAAGGCGACGAUCCGUAGCUGGUUUGAGAGGACGACCAGCCACACUGGGACUGAGACACGGCCCAGACUCCUACGGGAGGCAGCAGUGGGGAAUUUUGGACAAUGGGGGCAACCUUGAUCCAGCCAUCCCGCGUGUGCGAUGAAGGCCUUCGGGUUGUAAAGCACUUUUGGCAGGAAAGAAACGUCGCGGGCUAAUACCCCGUGGAACUGACGGUACCUGCAGAAUAAGCACCGGCUAACUACGUG